UACGGGGGGAGCAAGCGUUGUUCGGAUUUACUGGGCGUAAAGGGCGCGUAGGCGGCCAGCGCAAGUCAGUUGUGAAAUCUCCGAGCUUAACUCGGAAAGGUCAACUGAUACUGCGCGGCUAGAGUGCGGAAGGGGCAACUGGAAUUCUCGGUGUAGCGGUGAAAUGCGUAGAUAUCGAGAGGAACACCUGCGGCGAAGGCGGGUUGCUGGGCCGACACUGACGCUGAGGCGCGAAAGCUAGGGGAGCGAACGGG
rnacentral:rRNA from 1 species